rnacentral:rRNA from 1 species
UUAAGCGACUAAGCGUACACGGUGGAUGCCCUGGCAGUCAGAGGCGAUGAAGGACGUGCUAAUCUGCGAUAAGCGUCGGUAAGGUGAUAUGAACCGUUAUAACCGGCGAUUUCCGAAUGGGGAAACCCAGUGUGUUUCGACACACUAUCAUUAACUGAAUCCAUAGGUUAAUGAGGCGAACCGGGGGAACUGAAACAUCUAAGUACCCCGAGGAAAAGAAAUCAACCGAGAUUCCCCCAGUAGCGGCGAGCGAACGGGGAGGAGCCCAGAGUCUGAAUCAGUGUGUGUGUUAGUGGAAGCGUCUGGAAAGGCGCGCGAUACAGGGUGACAGCCCCGUACACAAAAAUGCACAUACUGUGAGCUCGAUGAGUAGGGCGGGACACGUGGUAUCCUGUCUGAAUAUGGGGGGACCAUCCUCCAAGGCUAAAUACUCCUGACUGACCGAUAGUGAACCAGUACCGUGAGGGAAAGGCGAAAAGAACCCCGGCGAGGGGAGUGAAAAAGAACCUGAAACCGUGUACGUACAAGCAGUGGGAGCCUCUUUUAUGGGGUGACUGCGUACCUUUUGUAUAAUGGGUCAGCGACUUAUAUUCUGUAGCAAGGUUAACCGAAUAGGGGAGCCGAAGGGAAACCGAGUCUUAACUGGGCGUUAAGUUGCAGGGUAUAGACCCGAAACCCGGUGAUCUAGCCAUGGGCAGGUUGAAGGUUGGGUAACACUAACUGGAGGACCGAACCGACUAAUGUUGAAAAAUUAGCGGAUGACUUGUGGCUGGGGGUGAAAGGCCAAUCAAACCGGGAGAUAGCUGGUUCUCCCCGAAAGCUAUUUAGGUAGCGCCUCGUGAAUUCAUCUCCGGGGGUAGAGCACUGUUUCGGCAAGGGGGUCAUCCCGACUUACCAACCCGAUGCAAACUGCGAAUACCGGAGAAUGUUAUCACGGGAGACACACGGCGGGUGCUAACGUCCGUCGUGAAGAGGGAAACAACCCAGACCGCCAGCUAAGGUCCCAAAGUCAUGGUUAAGUGGGAAACGAUGUGGGAAGGCCCAGACAGCCAGGAUGUUGGCUUAGAAGCAGCCAUCAUUUAAAGAAAGCGUAAUAGCUCACUGGUCGAGUCGGCCUGCGCGGAAGAUGUAACGGGGCUAAACCAUGCACCGAAGCUGCGGCAGCGACGCUUAUGCGUUGUUGGGUAGGGGAGCGUUCUGUAAGCCUGUGAAGGUGUGCUGUGAGGCAUGCUGGAGGUAUCAGAAGUGCGAAUGCUGACAUAAGUAACGAUAAAGCGGGUGAAAAGCCCGCUCGCCGGAAGACCAAGGGUUCCUGUCCAACGUUAAUCGGGGCAGGGUGAGUCGACCCCUAAGGCGAGGCCGAAAGGCGUAGUCGAUGGGAAACAGGUUAAUAUUCCUGUACUUGGUGUUACUGCGAAGGGGGGACGGAGAAGGCUAUGUUGGCCGGGCGACGGUUGUCCCGGUUUAAGCGUGUAGGCUGGUUUUCCAGGCAAAUCCGGAAAAUCAAGGCUGAGGCGUGAUGACGAGGCACUACGGUGCUGAAGCAACAAAUGCCCUGCUUCCAGGAAAAGCCUCUAAGCAUCAGGUAACAUCAAAUCGUACCCCAAACCGACACAGGUGGUCAGGUAGAGAAUACCAAGGCGCUUGAGAGAACUCGGGUGAAGGAACUAGGCAAAAUGGUGCCGUAACUUCGGGAGAAGGCACGCUGAUAUGUAGGUGAAGUCCCUCGCGGAUGGAGCUGAAAUCAGUCGAAGAUACCAGCUGGCUGCAACUGUUUAUUAAAAACACAGCACUGUGCAAACACGAAAGUGGACGUAUACGGUGUGACGCCUGCCCGGUGCCGGAAGGUUAAUUGAUGGGGUUAGCGCAAGCGAAGCUCUUGAUCGAAGCCCCGGUAAACGGCGGCCGUAACUAUAACGGUCCUAAGGUAGCGAAAUUCCUUGUCGGGUAAGUUCCGACCUGCACGAAUGGCGUAAUGAUGGCCAGGCUGUCUCCACCCGAGACUCAGUGAAAUUGAACUCGCUGUGAAGAUGCAGUGUACCCGCGGCAAGACGGAAAGACCCCGUGAACCUUUACUAUAGCUUGACACUGAACAUUGAGCCUUGAUGUGUAGGAUAGGUGGGAGGCUUAGAAGUGUGGACGCCAGUCUGCAUGGAGCCGACCUUGAAAUACCACCCUUUAAUGUUUGAUGUUCUAACGUUGACCCGUAAUCCGGGUUGCGGACAGUGUCUGGUGGGUAGUUUGACUGGGGCGGUCUCCUCCUAAAGAGUAACGGAGGAGCACGAAGGUUGGCUAAUCCUGGUCGGACAUCAGGAGGUUAGUGCAAUGGCAUAAGCCAGCUUGACUGCGAGCGUGACGGCGCGAGCAGGUGCGAAAGCAGGUCAUAGUGAUCCGGUGGUUCUGAAUGGAAGGGCCAUCGCUCAACGGAUAAAAGGUACUCCGGGGAUAACAGGCUGAUACCGCCCAAGAGUUCAUAUCGACGGCGGUGUUUGGCACCUCGAUGUCGGCUCAUCACAUCCUGGGGCUGAAGUAGGUCCCAAGGGUAUGGCUGUUCGCCAUUUAAAGUGGUACGCGAGCUGGGUUUAGAACGUCGUGAGACAGUUCGGUCCCUAUCUGCCGUGGGCGCUGGAGAACUGAGGGGGGCUGCUCCUAGUACGAGAGGACCGGAGUGGACGCAUCACUGGUGUUCGGGUUGUCAUGCCAAUGGCACUGCCCGGUAGCUAAAUGCGGAAGAGAUAAGUGCUGAAAGCAUCUAAGCACGAAACUUGCCCCGAGAUGAGUUCUCCCUGACCCUUUAAGGGUCCUGAAGGAACGUUGAAGACGACGACGUUGAUAGGCCGGGUGUGUAAGCGCAGCGAUGCGUUGAGCUAACCGGUACUAAUGAACCGUGAGGCUUAACCUU